AACGCUCGCGACACACGCUUACAAAGGCCCUAAAGAACCUUUACAUUACACGACAGUUAAACAAACGAUUUACUGUACAUAAUACAGAACAAAAUAAUGCAGUAGUAAUAAGUAGUAAUUGUAUACUUUUAGUAAACUUUGUGAUAAUUUUCUGUGAUCAAUAAUUGUUAAGAAGUUUGCUGUAUAGAGUUUUGGAAAGAUUGUUUGUUUAAAAACAUGGUAACAGGUGUAAAGUGUUUAUUUGUAAUUGGAAUUACGGUGUUACAAAUUAGUGUAUCAGAAAGUCAGCAAGAAGGUGAUCACUCCCAGAACAGUCGUCCCGAGAAAAAGCCUCAAUCAGUUCGGGAUCUGUUGAACACCACAUCAUGCAUCCCUCCGCCAUACCGCUGCCCUCAUCACAGGAUGCAGUUUUAUCUUUACACAAGGAAAACUCAAGAAAAAGGCGAACUUCUUAACACGUUAGACGAUGAUUCCUUGACCUACUCUAAGUUCAAUCCGAACCAUCCUACCAAGCUUGUGGUGCAUGGCUUCGGAGGGGGAAGAAACCUGUCCCCCAGUACGGAUAUGCGGAAAGCGUACUUUACUAAGGGAAAUUAUAAUAUCAUUAUUGUUGAUUAUGGGACAUUGGUCAAGGAACCUUGUCUCAGUCAAAUAGAAUGGGCGCCGCGGUUCGCGGGUCUGUGCAUCGCUCAACUGGUGGAAUACCUUCAAUACCACCCCGUGAAGCCGGUACCUCCAGAGAAGCUUCACACCAUCGGGUACAGUGUCGGCGCCCAUAUCCUAGGAUUGGUCGCUAACAAUUUGCAACAGGGCAAACUUGGCAGGAUUACAGGUCUGGAUCCCACGAUAUUAUUCUACAUGGGCAACAAUCGCUCCCGUGAUUUGGACUACACAGAUGCACUGUUUGUGGAUGUUUUGCAUACCGGUGCUGGAAUUCUAGGACAAUGGGGACCCAAUGGCCACGCUGACUUUUACGUUAAUGGCGGUUCUAGCCAACCUGGAUGUGCCCACGACACCAUUUUCCAAACCCUAUCCUGCGACCACACUAAGGUGACGCCAUACUUUAUCGAGUCUAUAAACAGCCGCGCCGGAUUUUGGGCGGGCCCGUGUCCAAAUCUUUUCUCCUACCUAAUUGGAUGGUGUGAACCAAAAGACACAGAAUACGUACUGAUGGGAGAACAUGUUUCGCAUAAUGCACGUGGUGUAUACUACGUAACGACAAACGCGAAGCCGCCGUACGCAAGAGGAUUCCCUGGUAAAUCACGACGUCUACGUCGAUCGGUCGCACCAGGACACAGUUGAUGUUCAAUUAAACUAUAACUAGAUAAAGGACAAUUUAGUUUUAGUAUUUAUUAAUGCUCAAAUUGUCAUCUUCUAAGAGCGUCCGCUGCAUGAAAUGGAACCCGCGUGCAGUUUGUUUCACAGUAUACUGGUUGGGUUAAAAAAAAAUCAAGGCAAUGUCCAGUUCAAGUUGACGACUCUCGGAGAUAUAUCUAAGAUCAUCACUGUGACAGCCAUAAUUUAAUUUAGUUUAAAUGUACAGUGAACAACAUCUUUGGCUUUACUCUUUAAAACUUAAUAUGUUGUUGACUAUACGUUAAGGUAUGUGAAUGUGUUACCUAUUUCAAUUUACUCAUAAAAGAUGCUUUAAGAUUUU